CUUCCACUUUCUCCUCUCAUUUGCUUCCUUCCCCUCCCUCUCUCUCUCUCUCUCUCUCUUUCUGUGUCCCUCCUCCCCCUUCUCCCCUCGGCUCAACAUUGUGAUGCCUACAAAAACAUUAAGAGGAGGAAAACUCUGUCUCUCCCUCUAAGCUGAUCUCUUGCCUGUGAGGAAUGUUUUGUAUGUUGGACAGAUUUUUUUCAUUCAGACAUUGUUGGGUGCUAUUUUAGGGCCCUCGAUGACAUCAUCAUCCAGCGCCCGGCGCAUGGUGAAGUCCACAACCGGAUGGAACCGGAGCGACUCAUUGAUAAAACUCUCCAGAAUGUGUAACCUGGACAGAUGACAGUGUCCAUUUCCUCCAGGAUCUUUAACUCCACGUCUGGAUUCUGUUUGAGCAACAGCAACAUGAAGAACAGACUGAUAGAGAGAGUGUCUGGAGCUGCGAUAAUCAUCUCCAACACACACUGCCUGACAUUCUCAGCA